GGCGGGGCGGGGCGGGGGGCGGGCCCGAUCUGUGGCCCCGCCCCUAGGUCCUAGCCCAGAGGGCUGAAGAGCUGAGAGCUUACUCCUGAGGCCGGGGAAGAAACACUCCGGCUUGCCGGCUCUCUUUAACCGGCAGGGGAUCCCGCGGGCUCUCGGAGGUCGGCGAGAAGUAGCAGCUCCGCCCGCCUUCUCCGACGGUCUCGCUCUCCGCCGGGCACGCCCUGCGCCGCGAUCUCGGGGCGGGCGUUCCCCAAGCCCCCUCUGGCCUGUGUACCGUUGUUAGCGACUCUCCUUAAGAGCGCACGGAGUGGGAAAGACUGGGCGCAGUAGGCCAAAGGGGAGACUCUGGCCUCGGCUCUGCAGGGGGCAGGGGUGUGGGUGCCUUGCGGCAGCCGCGCCCUCCCGCAGCCUGCUGCCUCCAGACUCCGAACCCCGGGGACCCAGUCAUUUUCCACGGCCUCUGCAACACCCCUCCCAGCAAGGCGCGGCCCUUUUUCGGAGCUGGACUGCAUUUUUUAGAGAUGAGUGGCCGGGUGAGCCUGAAACCAUGGCCAAAGGCUCCAGUGCGACACGGAGGAAAUGCCCCGCCCCCACCCCCAGCAGAAGAGAGGCCGAGGUCAGUGGCACCUGGAGACUCUGCCAAGGUUGGGAAUUACUGCGCUGGGGGCGCCCGCGGCGACACAGGAACGGGCGUCGGGGUGAAGCUCCCACCGAGCCCGCGGGGUUCCGAGGAAGCUUCCGUCGCCCGGCGCGCUCUGGGCCGGGGGUUUUGUCCGGGAAGGUCACCUGGCGCCCACCAGGCCUCUGCCUGGGCACCCUGCCCCGGCGCCGCGCGUCCCGGCGGCCUCAAAGGCAAGCUUCUUCGAAUGGCUCACUUUUUUCGUAGAUGAGCGACUGCCUCUUUAAAUACUACCUUAAAAAAAAAGAAUAAACAAAUCAGGGUUGGAAUUCCUUCUGCACGUAGCACACACUUUCUGGCAUCGGAACUGAGCUCUUCAAGGCCAGGAUGGUGAAUAGCUACCACUGUGCUCCCCUUACUGUGACUCAACCGUUUACUUUCAACAAACGUGUGUGGAGCUCCGACUCGGUGGGAACACUCGGGUGGGGGAAACGACUCUAGGUUUGGUGUGCAAGCACCUGGGUUCUGUCACUUGAAGUUACAGGUUCUUUGAGCCUUGGUUUUCUCGCCUAGAAAAUCUUCAAAAUGAUCUAUGAAAACUUGUAAUCACUGCUUCAUCGCUGAAAGGAGCUGCUAACAAGCAUCAAAUGAGAAAUAUGCAGAAACAAGAUUUGACAUCUUCGGAACCAGAAACUAGUCUAUGGAAAACUCUUCCAACCAUUGUACGUAUGGAGUUUUAAGCAUAAGCAGGAGCAGCAACAAGGACGCUCCAUGCCUGAGGUGGGGGAGGCCUGGGACAAGAAGGAGCUAAUGGGCUAUUGAUUGGCAGGCAUGAAGGAGUGGAGAUAGGAUGAGGCCCAGAUGGAUGGCAAAGCCAAGGAAGAAAGGGUAGCAGCUAAGCUCCAAAGACCAAGUAUGAGAGCAUCCACCCAAGGAUCCAUCCUGCCCAUCCUGCACAUUCUGAAUGUGUGGUGCACACAUUUGCAAAGUGGCUUUCACCCCUUCAUCACAUUGAGGAAGGCUUCCCAAGGAAGGACAACCUCGGAAGGGGUCCACCUCUCCAAACUGUGGAUCAGGCCUUAUUGGAGAAAGAUUCGUGGCAGCCCCUUGGACGGCGGAGAAAUUUCCCGGUGCAUUGGCCACAACUGCUCUUUGGUUGCAGAUAAGGAUGAAGCAAUCUGCGGGAGCCUAGAUCUCCUGUCUGUAUGUAUGAGCUGAAAAAUGCCUUCAGGGAAGGUUUUGCCUUUGAGAACGGAUGUGGUAAAAUGAACAUGAUGCGCUGGAGUAGGAAUCAGAAAAUUUGACCAUGCUGUGUGAGUUUGAGCCCAUUGGCUUGCCUCUCUGAGCCUCAGUUUCCCCGAAUGAAAAUGGGAACCUUGAGUAAGCCUCCUUCCCCGCCCACUGUAUCGCAGCAUUUCAUAAGGCUCUGUAGAGAGUAAAAGCGUUCGUGUUGUGGUUGCAUACCCCUUGUGCUCUCCUUCUGCGGCUAAAACUGGAGCUUCUGCAGAUAUAUGUUGAUUUCAGCAAAGGAGUAGGCAGAUGAGAGCCUCAAAUGGGAGCAAUAGGCACUCUGGACGCCCUGACGGCAGAGUCUGGAGAACGGAAAAGCCAACUUUUCUCCCCUUGUGCUUCCAAUUGGGGAAGAGUGAGGAGCCGGGAAAGGUAAAUGCUGUCAUCUGCUGGUCAUUUCCUGUGUAGCAGCAUCAAAUUAAUAGUUUUGCAAAGCUCUCGUUCAAAGUUAGCUAAGGACCUGGAGGGAGGAGGAGGCAUUUGCUGAGCACCUACUGGUUAUAAGGGACUAUCUUCAAGGAUGCUAUGAACAGAGAUAUGACCUAGCCCUGGAUGCUGCCAAUAAGGAGGACACGGACCGCAGGGAGCCAGGGCCGCCUCCCUGUGCCUGUGUGCCUCAAGCACACCCUUUGACCUCUCUGAGCUUCAGGUUCUCAUCAGGUGCGUGGACUAGGAUGGUCUCCAAGGAUCUUGAAAGAUGCAGAGAAUAUUACAGAUGGGCACUGGGAAGGAAAGGAGGAGGGCAUCAAGAGAAGCCCUUGGAAAGUCUGACAGAUGUCCUCUUCCCUUGUGCCCGUGUUUGUGACACUGUGGGCUAGGCUCCAGAUCGCUAAGCACCUGCCCUCCUCUGACUUCUGUUCAGGGGAAGGGACAGUGGAGUCGGAAAGACUUCUUGAAGGAAGACUGGAACCAACGCCUGCGUUGUCCCCACCAGUUUUAAGAAAUGGAACCAUAUAGUUGCCUCUGAAGUCAUCCAUUAUAUGAAUAUAUUAUCAU